UCAGCUCCACGGACUUGGUGA
rnacentral:miRNA from 1 species